CGGGUAUCAGAGAUGAAAUUAGGUGUCUCGACGGAGAUCCGUGCGGGAAGCGGGGCGGGCGUCGCCGGUAGCGUGAUAGAAGCGCGACACCUGACUGCGUGUUCAAGAAUGACACUGCCGUUUGUUAAUAGCACAGGCAGACGCCUAAAUUACCAUCAGACAUCAUCAUCAUCAUCAUCACCACCACCAUCACGAAAUGGCAAUCAAAUAUUGCAUCAAGUAUCAGACUUGUUUUUUUAACCAUCUUUGUCCAUGAGAGUGAUACACCAAUGAAGAUGGCUCAUUAAGAUCCAGGAGGCUCUCUCUUUGCUAGACAAUAUGAUUCCCCCCCCCCCCCCCCAAAAAAAAAGUACGAAGAACGUAACAUAAAUGUGCAUGCAGUGAGAGUGACCCAGAUUCCAGUGGCUGCAUUACUUGCGCACAGCUGCUCAUCUCUGCCUCCCCUAUCAUCUGCAUGUCUACCAUUCACAAGCAUAUGCGGCCAAUGGCUGCAGGGCAAAACAGGAAGUGCAAGAGCCCACUUAGAGGAAGAUGAUUUGUUGACUAUGGGAUAUAAUUUCCCAUCGUGAUUGCACAAUUUAUGCCAUUCAUAUAUUAGCCUCACUGUGUAAUCUCGGAGUGUGUAGCAUCCCGAUGUUUAGAUGUAUGCUGAGGUCAAUCCAUGUGAAGGCCUGAGGUAAAAAUCACUGAGUCAAAGCAGAAAAUGAAGGUUUGUUUUGGUGAAGUAUUGACUCAGACAGCAAAUGUGUGUCACAGCGAUAAUGAGUAACUCGGUUGAUUGUUUUGCCUUUGGUAUUUUAAUGGUUUCCUGGUAUUUUGUGUCUCCGACAACCCUGCCCUUUCAAAUGCCUUUGUGGCAUUUUACGAUUCAUGCGUGUCUCACGCCUUAAAUAUAGAAGAACAAAAUGUGCAGCAAGGUUCAAGUAUCAAAUUGAUGGCCUUGAAAAAACAAAAAAUUGAGUCUCUCUUUUGAAGAAUGUCAGUAAGCCUAUUUUCCAGCUCCUUGGAAUGCGAGGACUGUUUCCAUAAGAGCUGGCCAUAAUAAGCUUAACAUAUUCAUGACGUCUGGCAGAUUAAAAUUAGCCUAUAAUGACAUUUGGCAUUCAGGGGGGGACUAGGAAAUCAAAUGAGGAAUGUAUAAAGAUCUAUACUGUCAUCUAAAGAGCAUAGUGGAGCUAAAAACAUACACACGUGUAACUUGGAAACAAAACUUUCAGGCAAAAACGAUCUAAAAGAGACAUGGUUCUUAAGCCCACAUCCUUGUCCAGCUGAGGAUAAUUAUCCUGUGUAUGACUCACGACUAUGAGUCUCUAAAGCGUUGAGUAGAGUGUUCCAUGUCCAUUUCCGAAAACACGAUUAAAACAAAGCUGCCUGACAACCUUGUGUAACCGUCAGUAAAAAAAGGUUCUGAAGAGAGAUGCUCCACUUUCUUUUCAGUUUUGUACACUUUUGUGAAAUUUGAACACACACCACUGAAAAUUGUGCAGUAACAAAAAGACCAUGUGCUAAUUUCUGAGUGUGUUUCAGAAAAGAUAUUGACCUCCCGAAGUGAUGCAGGCAUCUCCAAUGCUGUAUAUGUCCAUAUUCACACAGCCCUGGUUGCUAUGGACACUGACCUCCUCCAAUCUGUUUCCUGUGAAUGUAAUGGCAUUUGUGAAGUUAAUUUAUAGAAAACCAGCAGAGAACUGUCAUGAUGCACUUCCUUAUAUUUCAUUUCAUGUAUCAUUCGGACACAUGUGAGGACAUCAUCAUUUCACAGUUUGUAGUUUUUGCAAGCCUAUCAUUCCAGUGCUCAUGGCUUGCCAAUUGACAGUGUAAAAAUCAAUUUAUAAUUUGCUUAAAUAAA